GAGAGUUCAUAGUACGUGAACCGUUCAGGGGUAAACCUGAGAAACCCGAAAGUUCGAAAGGGGAGAUUCAGCGUGUCUCCGCGGUGGCGAGGCGUGGUGUUGCGACGGGUUCAUUCGUGUUCUCGCGCUCGCUGCGUCCGAUCCCUCACGGUACUUGUGCACAUCUCUCCUAGUAGGACGUCGCGACCCGUUGGGUGUCUGUUUAAGGCCCGUGGUGGAGCCCGUGCCGUGCAUUCGGUGCGGACCCUCGGUGUCCCGACGGACUUGCCCGACGGUCAGAACGUAGCGCUGGACCGCGAACUUGUUCGCGUUCGGAGCGUCGAAAGCACGGACGGUCAUCUGGCGUUCGGACCUAGCGCCGACACCGGAGCCGCUCGACUGUUUGCGGCGUAUUUCUCGAACCGUGUCCAAUACGCGCUUGUCAGCGACGCUAUUGCUUUGGGUACUUUCAGGACCCGUCUUGAAACACGGACCAAGGAGUCUAGCAUGUACGCGAGUCAUUGGGACUUGAUAAACCUAAAGGCGAAAUGAAAGUGAAGGCGAGCCUUGCGCUCGCCUAGGGAAGAUGGGUCGCGACACGUCGCGGCCCCGCACUCCCGAGGCGUCUCGUGCUCAUUGCGAGUUGAGGCGCACUCAGAGCGUACACGCUGGGACCCGAAA
rnacentral:rRNA from 1 species